rnacentral:rRNA from 1 species
GAUGAACGCUGGCGGCGUGCCUAAUACAUGCAAGUCGAGCGAACGGACGAGAAGCCUGCUUCUCUGAUGUUAGCGGCGGACGGGUGAGUAACACGUGGAUAACCUACGUAUAAGACUGGGAUAACAUCGUGAAACCGGAGCGAAUACCGGAUGAUCUUUUGAACCGCAUGGUUCAAAAGUGAAAGACGGUCUUGCUGUCACUUAUAGAUGGACCCGCGCUGCAUUAGCUAGUUGGUAAGGUAACGGCUUACCAAGGCAACGAUGCAUAGCCGACCUGAGAGAGUGAUCGGCCACACUGGAACUGAGAACCGGUCCAGACUCCUACGGGAGGCAGCAGUAGGGAAUCUUCGGCAAUGAGCGAAGGCCUGCGGGAGCAACGCCGCGUGGGUGAUGAAGGUCUUCGGAUCGUAAAACUCUGUUAUUAGGGAAGAACAUAUGUGUAAGUAAAUGUGCACGUCUUGACGGUACCUAAUCAGAAAGCCACGGCUAACUACGUG